AGUGAACGCUGGCGGUAGGCCUAACACAUGCAAGUCGAACGGCAGCACAGAGGAGCUUGCUCCUUGGGUGGCGAGUGGCGGACGGGUGAGGAAUACAUCGGAAUCUACUCUGUCGUGGGGGAUAACGUAGGGAAAAUUACGCUAAUACCGCAUACGACCUACGGGUGAAAGCAGGGGAUCUUCGGACCUUGCGCGAUUGAAGGAGCCGAUGUCGGAUUAGCUAGUUUGCGGGGUAAAGGCCCACCAAGGCGACGAUCCGUAGAUGGUCUGAGAGGAUGAUCAGCCACACUGGAACUGAGACACGGUCCAGACUCCUACGGGAGGCAGCAGUGGGGAAUAUUGGACAAUGGGCGCAAGCCUGAUCCAGCCAUACCGCGUGGGUGAAGAAGGCCUUCGGGUUGUAAAGCCCUUUUGUUGGGAAAGAAAUCCAUCUGGUUAAUACCCGGGUGGGAUGACGGUACCCAAAGAAUAAGCACCGGCUAACUUCGUGCCAGCAGCCGCAGUAA
rnacentral:rRNA from 1 species